ACUGCUGUUCUCAAACAGCACUCCAGUGUUUGCAAACAGUCUAAAUGAAAUGUUCAGCUGCUCUUGAGAUCCAGCCACACAAUGUGGGUAAAGAAGAAUGCGUCUCUCCUCCUGACAAGUGCCUUGUGUUCACUUGCGCUGUUUUUCCACCAUUGUAAAAUAAUAUAGCGAAGGCCUCAUAUAAUCCCUUUUGAAGACAAUGACAUUCACCAAAUUUCUUGACCGAAACAGGUCUUACAAUGUUUAUGGGCAUUUAUACCAGAACAGAAAGAUGAAAAAGUGGAAGAAGCCCAAGUAAGACAGUGACAUAACACGCUUUAUGAAUCCAAGUGAAGGAAAAUAUACAGUGUUUCGCCAGACAUUCUGGAAGCUAUGUGCUUAGCAUAUGUGCAGCAAGAGAGACUUGAUCAACUACUAGCAGGGUGUCAAAAUUAGUCAUCAUUGGAAGUGUUAGACUCUUUAUUUGGCAUUAUUUAGAUGGUGAAUAUGCCUCAGUUAGCAAAAAGUUGAAGAUUUGUAAACUUGUGGUGAAGAGGUCAGAGUGGUUUCA